rnacentral:rRNA from 1 species
ACUCAAAGGAAUUGACGGGGAGGCGCACAAGCAGUGGAGCGUGUUGUUUAAUUCGAUACAAAGCGAAAAACCUCACCAGGAUUUGACAUGUAGCUGCAAGCCUUGGAAACAAGGUCGCUUACGAAGGUGCUACACAGAUGCUGCAUGGCUGUCGUCAGCUCGUGGCGUGAGCUGUACCGUUAAGUCGGGUAACGAGCGCAACCCGCACCGUAUGUUAAAUAAUCCAUGCGGAACAGCCCCUUUUUUAGGGGAGGAAGGCGCGGAUGACGUCAAGUCAGCACGGCUCUUACAUCCUGGGCUACAAACACCCUACAAUGGCGAAAAACAACGAGCAGCAAGCCGGCAACGGCAAGCUAAUCUCUGAAAUUUCGCCCCAGUUCAGAUUGGGGGCUGCAAUUCGCCCCCAUGAAGUCGGAAUUGCUAGUAAUCGCGAAUCAGCAGGUCGCGGUGAAUACGUUCUCGCCUCUUGUACACACCGCCCGU